rnacentral:lncRNA from 12 species
CUUGCAUGGAAACUCUGCUGCUCAUGCUGCAUCCAAAUGAAACAAGAUCUCAGGGUUUUGCUGAGCAUAAACAUAUUUUCUAUCCUGGCUUUUAG